rnacentral:rRNA from 1 species
UACGGGGGGGGCAAGCGUUGUUCGGAAUUACUGGGCGUAAAGGGCUCGUAGGCGGCCAACUAAGUCGGAUGUGAAAUCCCCAGGCUUAACCUGGGAACUGCAUCCGAUACUGGAUGGCUUGAAUCCGGGAGAGGGAUGCAGAAUUCCAGGUGUAGCGGUGAAAUGCGUAGAUAUCGGAAGGAACACCAGUGGCGAAAGCGGCUUCCUGGUCCAGCACCGACGUUCAGGCACGAAAGCGUGGGGAGCAAACAGG